rnacentral:rRNA from 1 species
GCCUACGGGGGGCAGCAGUGGGGGAUAUUGCACAAUGGGGGAAACCCUGAUGCAGCGACGCCGCGUCGUUGAAGAAGCGCCUCGGCGCGUAAAGCCCUGUCAGCAGGGAAGAAAAUGACGGUACCUGAAGAAGAAGCCCCGGCUAACUACGUGCCAGCAGCAGCGGUAAUACGUAGGGGGCAAGCGAUAUCCGGAUUUACUGGGUGUAAAGGGGGCGCAGACGGCGUUGCAAGCCAGGAGUGAUAGCCCGGGGCCCAACCCCGGGACUGCUCUUGGAACUGCGUGGCUCGAGUGCAGGAGGGGCG